rnacentral:miRNA from 1 species
CAGGGAGGUUGAGGCUGCGGUAAGCUGUGAUCAUACCACUGCACUCCAGCCUGGGUGACAGUGAGACCUUGUCUCA